UUAGGAAUCUUCCACAAUGGGCGAAAGCCUGAUGGAGCGACGCCGCGUGAGGGAUGAAGGCCUUAGGGUUGUAAACCUCUAAAAGAGGGACGAUAAUGACGGUACCUCUUGAAUAGCACCGGCUAACUCCGUGCCAGCAGCCGCGGUAAUACGGAGGGUGCAAGCGUUAUCCGGAAUUACUGGGCGUAAAGGGUGCGUAGGCGGUCUGUUAAGUCCGAUGUUAAAUCCCGGGGCUCAACCCCGGAUAAGCGUUGGAUACUGGCAGGCUAGACGGUUGGAGAGGCGAGUGGAAUUACCAGUGUAGCGGUGGAAUGCGUAGAUACUGGUAGGAACACCCAUUGCGAAGGCAGCUCGCUGGACAACACGUGACGCUGAGGCGCGAAAGUGUGGGGAGCAAACC
rnacentral:rRNA from 1 species